rnacentral:rRNA from 1 species
GGAGCACGCUUAGGCGUGUGACUGCGUACCUUUUGUAUAAUGGGUCAGCGACUUAUAUUCUGUAGCAAGGUUAACCGAAUAGGGGAGCCGAAGGGAAACCGAGUCUUAACUGGGCGUUAAGUUGCAGGGUAUAGACCCGAAACCCGGUGAUCUAGCCAUGGGCAGGUUGAAGGUUGGGUAACACUAACUGGAGGACCGAACCGACUAAUGUUGAAAAAUUAGCGGAUGACUUGUGGCUGGGGGUGAAAGGCCAAUCAAACCGGGAGAUAGCUGGUUCUCCCCGAAAGCUAUUUAGGUAGCGCCUCGUGAAUUCAUCUCCGGGGGUAGAGCACUGUUUCGGCAAGGGGGUCAUCCCGACUUACCAACCCGAUGCAAACUGCGAAUACCGGAGAAUGUUAUCACGGGAGACACACGGCGGGUGCUAACGUCCGUCGUGAAGAGGGAAAUAACCCAGACCGCCAGCUAAGGUCCCAAAGUCAUGGUUAAGUGGGAAACGAUGUGGGAAGGCCCAGACAGCCAGGAUGUUGGCUUAGAAGCAGCCAUCAUUUAAAGAAAGCGUAAUAGCUCACUGGUCGAGUCGGCCUGCGCGGAAGAUGUAACGGGGCUAAACCAUGCACCGAAGCUGCGGCAGCGACGCUUAUGCGUUGUUGGGUAGGGGAGCGUUCUGUAAGCCUGCGAAGGUGUGCUGUGAGGCAUGCUGGAGGUAUCAGAAGUGCGAAUGCUGACAUAAGUAACGAUAAAGCGGGUGAAAAGCCCGCUCGCCGGAAGACCAAGGGUUCCUGUCCAACGUUAAUCGGGGCAGGGUGAGUCGACCCCUAAGGCGAGGCCGAAAGGCGUAGUCGAUGGGAAACAGGUUAAUAUUCCUGUACUUGGUGUUACUGCGAAGGGGGGACGGAGAAGGCUAUGUUGGCCGGGCGACGGUUGUCCCGGUUUAAGCGUGUAGGCUGGUUUUCCAGGCAAAUCCGGAAAAUCAAGGCUGAGGCGUGAUGACGAGGCACUACGGUGCUGAAGCAACAAAUGCCCUGCUUCCAGGAAAAGCCUCUAAGCAUCAGGUAACAUCAAAUCGUACCCCAAACCGACACAGGUGGUCAGGUAGAGAAUACCAAGGCGCUUGAGAGAACUCGGGUGAAGGAACUAGGCAAAAUGGUGCCGUAACUUCGGGAGAAGGCACGCUGAUAUGUAGGUGAAGUCCCUCGCGGAUGGAGCUGAAAUCAGUCGAAGAUACCAGCUGGCUGCAACUGUUUAUUAAAAACACAGCACUGUGCAAACACGAAAGUGGACGUAUACGGUGUGACGCCUGCCCGGUGCCGGAAGGUUAAUUGAUGGGGUCAGCGCAAGCGAAGCUCUUGAUCGAAGCCCCGGUAAACGGCGGCCGUAACUAUAACGGUCCUAAGGUAGCGAAAUUCCUUGUCGGGUAAGUUCCGACCUGCACGAAUGGCGUAAUGAUGGCCAGGCUGUCUCCACCCGAGACUCAGUGAAAUUGAACUCGCUGUGAAGAUGCAGUGUACCCGCGGCAAGACGGAAAGACCCCGUGAACCUUUACUAUAGCUUGACACUGAACAUUGAGCCUUGAUGUGUAGGAUAGGUGGGAGGCUUUGAAGUGUGG